rnacentral:lncRNA from 1 species
AGGAAAGAAGAGGGACUGGGAAGCUAGGGCGACUGAGGAUACGCCGAGGUCUAGUCCGGCUUGGCAGCGCGAACUAGAGAGCUUUGCGAGCCGCGGGGCUGGGAAGUCAGGGCAUAAGGGCCAGGCCUGCCCUCUGGUGCUUUCGGCUCCUCGGGCCCCCGACUUUAAAGUGCUCAAGUUGGGGUCGGCGCCAUCAUGACGCCUGAGACUGAGAAGAAAAAGUUACAAGUAAUAGAAGAACUAACUCAUUCAGGAGCCCGAAGAAAGGAACAGAACUUCUAGUGUGAGAUGCUGAGACCGCCUCACUGUGAAAGGUGUUCCCUGUCCAUUCUGAUAAGAGGGGGACUGCACAGCUUGGAUUGAUUCAUGUCUCUUGCUUGGAUCCUGCAACAUCUGACUACAGUGCAGGAAAUAACACUAUGGCUGACUCUUGGAUAUCAUCUGUAACCCUAUUCCCUUGACAAUGAAUAACACUGAAUUCAAUUAAAAUCUGACCCAAACAAGAAGGAGCCUGAAGCUACAGUCUGUCUACAUGAAAAACAAAUUGGGAACUCAGUAGGAAAAGACACUUGCCUCCUAACCUGACCACCAGGGUUCUAUUCCCUAGACCAGCAUGGUUGAAGAGAAGACAAACUCCCAUAAGGUCUCCUCUGGCUUCAACACUGUCCUCAGGGUCUGCAUCUGGCCACACAUACACAUGUUACCUAAUUCAAUCUUUCAUUAAUAAAGUUCCAAUAAAAGAAGUGAGCAA